GAAUUCACUAGUGAUUCAGGCCUAACACAUGCAAGUCGAACGGCAGCACGGGUGCUUGCACCUGGUGGCGAGUGGCGAACGGGUGAGUAAUACAUCGGAACGUACCUUAUCGUGGGGGAUAACGCAGCGAAAGCUGUGCUAAUACCGCAUACGCCCUGAGGGGGAAAGCGGGGGAUCGCAAGGCCUCGCGCGAUUAGAGCGGCCGAUGCCUGAUUAGCUAGUUGGUGGGGUAAAAGCCCACCAAGGCGACGAUCAGUAGCUGGUCUGAGAGGACGAUCAGCCACACUGGGACUGAGACACGGCCCAGACUCCUACGGGAGGCAGCAGUGGGGAAUUUUGGACAAUGGGGGCAACCCUGAUCCAGAAAGGCCGCGUGAGUGAAGAAGGCCUUCGGGUGAAUUUAAAAGGGUCAGGGAAGAAACACCGGCUCUAACACAGUCC
rnacentral:rRNA from 1 species